rnacentral:lncRNA from 1 species
AAUCCAAAUACAAUUUGAAACUCAAAAUUACAUCAAAACUCCUAAAACAGACUCUAUGACUUAGACGCAACUAGGAGUCUUGAAGUAUUGAUUUCCUGCAAAACAAUUCAUUAAAAAAUGAUUAGCACUAAAUUCUUAUACCUUCUCCCCCUUUGUUCACAUCUCCCCCUUUGUUCUUGAACUCAUCAUUCUCUGCUUCAGUUCAAUGCCUGUUCAUCCAUGAACUCAUCAUUCACUGCUUCAGUUCAAUGCCUGUUCAUCCAUACUCUCCCCCUUCAUCUAUGCUCUCCCCCUUUUUGUCAAAAAUU